GUGGGGAAUUUUGCCCAAUGGGCGCAAGCCUGAGGCAGCAACGCCGCGUGAGUGAUGACGCCCUUCGGGGUGUAAAGCUCUUUCGAGAGGGACGAAGACCAGGGGGUGAAGAGCCUUUUGGGAUGACGGUACCUGGGGAAGCAGCCCCGGCUAACUCCGUGCCAGCAGCCGCGGUAAGACGGAGGGGGCAAGCGUUGUUCGGAAUGAUUGGGCGUAAAGCGCGCGUAGGCGGCGCAGCAAGUGCCACGUGAAAGCCCCUGGCUUAACUGGGGAAGGGCGUGGUAGACUGGUGUGCUUGAGUGCCGGAGGGGAUGGUGGAAUUCCUGGUGGAGCGGUGAAAUGCGUAGAGAUCAGGAAGAACGUCGGUGGCGAAGGCGGCCAUCUGGACGGACACUGACGCUGAGGUGCGACAGCGUGGGGAGCGAACGGGAUUAGAUACCCCUGUAGUCC
rnacentral:rRNA from 1 species